rnacentral:misc_RNA from 1 species
UCCUGUUUUGUACAGGCAGUCUGUUUAGAGUGCUCGCCUUGCGGCGGUGGCAACUAAACACAGGGGUUGCGUUCGUUGCGGGACUUAACCCAACACCUCACGGCACGAACUGACGACAGCCAUGCAGCACCUGUGCAGCACCCUCGAAGGAAUCCGCCUUUCGACGGACGUGCAGCUGCAUGUCAAGUCCUGGUAAGGUUCUUCGCGUUGCAUCGAAUUGAGCCACAUGCUCCUCCGCUUGUGCGGGCCCCCGUCAAUUUCUUUGAGUUUUAGUCUUGCGACCGUACUCCCCAGGCGGUGCGCUUAACGCGUUAGCUCCGGCACGGGGAGGGUCAAAUCUCCCCACACCAAGCGCACACCGUUUACAGCUGGGACUAC